UACGUAGGGUGCAAGCGUUAAUCGGAAUUACUGGGCGUAAAGCGUGCGCAGGCGGUUGUGCAAGACCGAUGUGAAAUCCCCGGGCCUUAACCUGGGAAUGGCAUUGGUGACUGCACGGCUAGAGUGUGUCAGAGGGGGGUAGGAAUUCCACGUGUAGCAGUGAAAUGCGUAGAGAUGUGGAGGAACACCGAUGGCGAAGGCAGCCUCCUGGGCCAACACUGACGCUCAUGCACGAAAGCGUGGGGAGCAAACAGG
rnacentral:rRNA from 1 species